AGAAGAAGAAAAGUAUAGUCAUCACAUAUUUCAAACUAGAACCACUGAUGAAAAGGGAAUGAAGUUGUUCACUUUUGUCCAGCUCAAGAGUUUCUUCCUAAGAUUCAAGAGAUACUAAAGACUCUAAAAGAUAAGACCAAAGGCAUAAAAGGGGCCAUUGUUGAAGACAACAAGUUCUGCAUCUCUGUUCACUUUCCACAAGUAGUAGAU